rnacentral:misc_RNA from 1 species
AGCGCUUAUACGGUGACCUCCACUCUGGGCUCGAAGGAGAAUGCGGCCAGGAACUCGCUGGCCUCGCCGUCAGCAUUGACGUACUUGGGCAGCUCCUCCCACUGGUUGCUGGCCACGUCGCACAUGAAGCAGGCGUUGGCCUCGGCGGAGGUGACGCAGACCAUGAGGCGGUCGCCGUGGCCGACGCAGUUGAUGUCGGGGCGCGUGCCGUGGAAUCCGUGCGACAUGGCGGGCGGCAUGGCGGCCACCUGCCGCCACGCGCCCCCGGCGAACUCCCAGACGCGCAGGCUGGCCGUGCCGAGGUAUUCCGAAAGCACGACGGCGUAGGCCGCUGCGCCGCACGCGACGACGUCGA